rnacentral:rRNA from 1 species
UGGGGAAUCUUGGACAAUGGGCGCAAGCCUGAUCCAGCCAUGCCGUGUGGGUGAAGAAGGCCUUAGGGUUGUAAAGCCCUUUCAGUCGUGACGAUGAUGACGGUAGCGACAGAAGAAGCCCCGGCUAACUCCGUGCCAGCAGCAGCGGUAAUACGGAGGGGGCAAGCGUUGUUCGGAUUUACUGGGCGUAAAGGGCGCGUAGGCGGGCGAUCAAGUCAGGGGUGAAAGGCGUGGGCUCUACCUGGGACGUGCAUUUGAAACUGAUUGUCUUGAGUGCGGGAGAGGGUGACGGAAUUCCCAGUGUAGAGGUGAAAUUCGUAGAUAUUGGGAAGAACACCGGUAGCGAAGGCGGUCACCUGGCCCGCAACUGACGCUGAGGCGCGAAAGCGUGGGGAGCAAACAGGAUUAGAUACCCCCGUAGUCC